GCCAAUUGGCCUCUGCAGGAUUCUUCAACAUUGAAGAAAAAGUUGAUGAUAUUUUUCUGCAACGCGAUACACAAAGGCAUUAGAGGUUAUAAAGAAACUUCACAAGGAACAGGCUCAAGAGAUUAAGACUUACAGGUUGAAGCUUGAAAAUCUUCAAACCCUAAAAGAUGCUGCAUACAAGCUUCGGGAAAGCAUUGGACAAGAUCAAGAGAAAACAGAAUCUGUAAAAUUUCAGAUGCAAGAAUUGGAUGCAAGUGUUAAAAAUUUGGAAGACAAAAUUCAUAAUGCGGAGGCAACAUUGAAAGAAUUGCAGAAACUGCAGGACUUGAUAUCAACUAAAAGUGCUCGACGAAGCGCCUUGUUUGAGGAACAAGAGAAACAGUAUGCAGCUCUUAAUGAAGAGAAUGAAGACACUGAUGAAGAGUUGAUGGAAUGGAAGACUAAGUUUGAAGAAAGAAUUGCUAUUUUACAAACAAAAAUAAGCAAGUUGGAGAGGGAGAUGAU